CUCCAGACUCCUACGGGAGGCAGCAGUGGGGAAUAUUGCACAAUGGGGGAAACCCUGAUGCAGCGACGCCGCGUGAGUGAAGAAGUAUUUCGGUAUGUAAAGCUCUAUCAGCAGGGAAGAAAAUGACGGUACCUGACUAAGAAGCCCCGGCUAACUACGUGCCAGCAGCCGCGGUAAUACGUAGGGGGCAAGCGUUAUCCGGAUUUACUGGGUGUAAAGGGAGCGUAGACGGCAUGGCAAGUCAGAUGUGAAAUCCGGGGGCUCAACCCCCGAACUGCAUUUGAAACUGUUGGUCUUGAGUAUCGGAGAGGCAGGCGGAAUUCCUAGUGUAGCGGUGAAAUGCGUAGAUAUUAGGAGGAACACCAGUGGCGAAGGCGUCUUACUGGACCGAAACUGACGUUGAGGCUCGAAAGCGUGGGGAGCAAACAGGAUUAGAUACCCUUGUA
rnacentral:rRNA from 1 species